rnacentral:rRNA from 1 species
AGUGAACGCUGGCGGUAGGCCUAACACAUGCCAGUCGAACGGCAGCACAGUAAGAGCUUGCUCUUACGGGUGGCGAGUGGCGGACGGGUGAGGAAUACAUCGGAAUCUACUUUUUCGUGGGGGAUAACGUAGGGAAACUUACGCUAAUACCGCAUACGACCUACGGGUGAAAGCAGGGGAUCUUCGGACCUUGCGCGAUUGAAUGAGCCGAUGUCGGAUUAGCUAGUUGGCGGGGUAAAGGCCCACCAAGGCGACGAUCCGUAGCUGGUCUUAGAGGAUGAUCAGCCACACUGGAACUGAGACACGGUCCAGACUCCUACGGGAGGCAGCAGUGGGGAAUACUGGACAAUGGGCGCAAGCCUGAUCCAGCCAUACCGCGUGGGUGAAGAAGGCCUUCGGGUUGUAAAGCCCUUUUGUUGGGAAAGAAAAGCAGCAGGUUAAUACCCCGCUGUUCUGACGGUACCCAAAGAAUAAGCACCGGCUAACUUCGUG